GGGUUGUGAGGUUAAGCGACCAAGCGUACACGGUGGAUGCCCUGGCAGUCAGAGGCGAUGAAGGACGUGCUAAUCUGCGAAAAGCGCCGGUAAGGUGAUAUGAACCGUUAUAACCGGCGAUGUCCGAAUGGGGAAACCCAGUGUGACUCGUCACACUAUCAUUAACUGAAUCCAUAGGUUAAUGAGGCGAACCGGGGGAACUGAAACAUCUAAGUACCCCGAGGAAAAGAAAUCAACCGAGAUUCCCCCAGUAGCGGCGAGCGAACGGGGAGGAGCCCAGAGCCUGAAUCAGCAUGUGUGUUAGUGGAAGCGUCUGGAAAGGCGCGCGAUACAGGGUGAGAGCCCCGUACACAAAAGCGCAUAUGCUGUGAGCUCGAUGAGUAGGGCGGGACACGUGGUAUCCUGUCUGAAUAUGGGGGGACCAUCCUCCAAGGCUAAAUACUCCUGACUGACCGAUAGUGAACCAGUACCGUGAGGGAAAGGCGAAAAGAACCCCGGCGAGGGGAGUGAAACAGAACCUGAAACCGUGUACGUACAAGCAGUGGGAGCCUCUCUUUAUGGGGGGUGACUGCGUACCUUUUGUAUAAUGGGUCAGCGACUUAUAUUCUGUAGCAAGGUUAACCGCAUAGGGGAGCCGAAGGGAAACCGAGUCUUAACCGGGCGUUAAGUUGCAGGGUAUAGACCCGAAACCCGGUGAUCUAGCCAUGGGCAGGUUGAAGGUUGGGUAACACUAACUGGAGGACCGAACCGACUAAUGUUGAAAAAUUAGCGGAUGACCUGUGGCUGGGGGUGAAAGGCCAAUCAAACCGGGAGAUAGCUGGUUCUCCCCGAAAGCUAUUUAGGUAGCGCCUCGUGAAUUCAUCUCCGGGGGUAGAGCACUGUUUCGGCUAGGGGGCCAUCCCGGCUUACCAACCCGAUGCAAACUGCGAAUACCGGAGAAUGUUAUCACGGGAGACACACGGCGGGUGCUAACGUCCGUCGUGAAGAGGGAAACAACCCAGACCGCCAGCUAAGGUCCCAAAGUCAUGGUUAAGUGGGAAACGAUGUGGGAAGGCCCAGACAGCCAGGAUGUUGGCUUAGAAGCAGCCAUCAUUUAAAGAAAGCGUAAUAGCUCACUGGUCGAGUCGGCCUGCGCGGAAGAUGUAACGGGGCUAAACCAUGCACCGAAGCUGCGGCAGCGACACUUUAGUGUUGUUGGGUAGGGGAGCGUUCUGUAAGCCGUUGAAGGUGUCCUGUGAGGGGUGCUGGAGGUAUCAGAAGUGCGAAUGCUGACAUAAGUAACGAUAAAGCGGGUGAAAAGCCCGCUCGCCGGAAGACCAAGGGUUCCUGUCCAACGUUAAUCGGGGCAGGGUGAGUCGACCCCUAAGGCGAGGCCGAAAGGCGUAGUCGAUGGGAAACGGGUUAAUAUUCCCGUACUUGGUGUUACUGCGAAGGGGGGACGGAGAAGGCUAUGUUGGCCGGGCGACGGUAGUCCCGGUUUAAGCGUGUAGGCUGGUUUUCCAGGCAAAUCCGGAAAAUCAAGGCUGAGGCGUGAUGACGAGGCACCACGGUGCUGAAGCAACAAAUGCCCUGCUUCCAGGAAAAGCCUCUAAGCAUCAGGUAACAUCAAAUCGUACCCCAAACCGACACAGGUGGUCAGGUAGAGAAUACCAAGGCGCUUGAGAGAACUCGGGUGAAGGAACUAGGCAAAAUGGUGCCGUAACUUCGGGAGAAGGCACGCUGACACGUAGGUGAAGUGAUUUACUCACGGAGCUGAAGUCAGUCGAAGAUACCAGCUGGCUGCAACUGUUUAUUAAAAACACAGCACUGUGCAAACACGAAAGUGGACGUAUACGGUGUGACGCCUGCCCGGUGCCGGAAGGUUAAUUGAUGGGGUCAGCGCAAGCGAAGCUCCUGAUCGAAGCCCCGGUAAACGGCGGCCGUAACUAUAACGGUCCUAAGGUAGCGAAAUUCCUUGUCGGGUAAGUUCCGACCUGCACGAAUGGCGUAAUGAUGGCCAGGCUGUCUCCACCCGAGACUCAGUGAAAUUGAACUCGCUGUGAAGAUGCAGUGUACCCGCGGCAAGACGGAAAGACCCCGUGAACCUUUACUAUAGCUUGACACUGAACAUUGAGCCUUGAUGUGUAGGAUAGGUGGGAGGCUUUGAAGCGUGGACGCCAGUCUGCGUGGAGCCGACCUUGAAAUACCACCCUUUAAUGUUUGAUGUUCUAACGUGGACCCGUAAUCCGGGUUGCGGACAGUGUCUGGUGGGUAGUUUGACUGGGGCGGUCUCCUCCUAAAGAGUAACGGAGGAGCACGAAGGUUGGCUAAUCCUGGUCGGACAUCAGGAGGUUAGUGCAAUGGCAUAAGCCAGCUUGACUGCGAGCGUGACGGCGCGAGCAGGUGCGAAAGCAGGUCAUAGUGAUCCGGUGGUUCUGAAUGGAAGGGCCAUCGCUCAACGGAUAAAAGGUACUCCGGGGAUAACAGGCUGAUACCGCCCAAGAGUUCAUAUCGACGGCGGUGUUUGGCACCUCGAUGUCGGCUCAUCACAUCCUGGGGCUGAAGUAGGUCCCAAGGGUAUGGCUGUUCGCCAUUUAAAGUGGUACGCGAGCUGGGUUUAGAACGUCGUGAGACAGUUCGGUCCCUAUCUGCCGUGGGCGCUGGAAGACUGAGGGGGGCUGCUCCUAGUACGAGAGGACCGGAGUGGACGCAUCACUGGUGUUCGGGUUGUCAUGCCAAUGGCACUGCCCGGUAGCUAAAUGCGGAAAAGAUAAGUGCUGAAAGCAUCUAAGCACGAAACUUGCCCCGAGAUGAGUCUUCCCUGAGACUUUGAGUCUCCUGAAGGAACGUUAAAGACGAUGACGUUGAUAGGCCGGGUGUGUAAGCGCAGCGAUGCGUUGAGCUAACCGGUACUAAUGAACCGUGAGGCUUAACCUUACAACGCCGAAGCUGUU
rnacentral:rRNA from 2 species